UACAGAGGGUGCGAGCGUUAAUCGGAAUUACUGGGCGUAAAGCGUGCGUAGACGGCUAUCUAAGUCGGGUGUGAAAGCCCCGGGCUCAACCUGGGAAUUGCAUUCGAGACUGAAUAGCUAGGGUGCGGUAGAGGGAAGCGGAAUUUCCGGUGUAGCGGUGAAAUGCGUAGAUAUCGGAAGGAACACCAGUGGCGAAAGCGGCUUCCUGGUCCAGCACCGACGUUCAGGCACGAAAGCGUGGGGAGCAAACAGG
rnacentral:rRNA from 1 species